GCGCUCCCUCGCGCGACACGCCCCACAGGACUCCUCCCUCCUCCCCUCCUCCCGGGAGGCGGGGAGCCUGCCCGCCGCCCCCCACCCGGAGAGGACCGGCUAACUUCUCCGGCUUGAAAGGCCCAAGUCCCUGGGGACCGGGCCGGGAGGCUGGGACUUGAAACCCACGUCCGAGUCCUAGGCCUUCUGCGCGCCGCCCCCUGACCCGCUGCCCGCGGGCCAAAGCCGGACGGAGCCCUCUGGUCUCGAUACCUACCCCGGCAAUCCAUCCCCCCUACCCCACCCCUGCCGCUGCCGCCCCGCAGCCAAGAGGACGCUCCUCACCGCCCAGCUCCUGGGCUGGGAAUGGAAAACGCUGGCAUUAAUCUCAUUGUUUGCUGCAGGCAGAGUACGAGCUGGCCCUAGAGCCUCACCUGGCCUCCUCAGACCUGCUUUCCAUCAAACGGUGCUCACCUGUUUGGAAACGUGGCAGGCAUUCUCAGCCCACCCACACCCCCACACCCCCAAGCUGGUUCUGCUACAAGUCUAAUCAAACCCUAAACCGGAAGGUUCUGGACCCACCCCCCAGCCCCAACUGCCGCGUGGGCGGGGCGGGGGAGGGGCGCGCUGGCAGAUUCAGGGUUGACCUUGGAAAUCUUCUGGCCCAAACUCACUUUCUGGCCCCAAAUCUCCUUCUGCACAAAGGGAAACUGAGGCCCAGAGAAGGACAGUCACUUGGCAUGCGGCUGGGGGGUGCCCCCAGAUCCAGAGAUAACUCCCAGGUCACAUGGAAUAAAGGUAGCCAAGGACCCCCUAAGUCUCUUGACAGAAACUCAGACCUCUCUAGGACCCCGUCUCCACGUAGCCACCUGAAAACUGGAAAUGGGCUGGUGGAAGAGGUUACUGUCCUACCCUAGCUAACAGCUACUCUUUAUUGAACUCUUCUCAUCUCUACAGCCUCCAUAAAAAUAUAAUUUACCACCUUUUGAGCACCUGCUCUGUGUUAUUUAGACUUUGUGGCAACUCCAUGAGGUAGGUUCUGAAUCUUCAUUUUACAUAUAAGUAAACUAAGGCUCAGGGAGAUUAAAUCACUUGCCCGAGGGCAC
ensembl:lncRNA